UACGAAGGGGGCUAGCGUUGCUCGGAAUUACUGGGCGUAAAGCGCACGUAGGCGGCUUUCUAAGUCGGGGGUGAAAUCCUGGAGCUCAACUCCAGAACUGCCUUCGAUACUGGAGAGCUCGAGUCCGGGAGAGGUGAGUGGAACUGCGAGUGUAGAGGUGAAAUUCGUAGAUAUUCGCAAGAACACCAGUGGCGAAGGCGGCUCACUGGCCCGGUACUGACGCUGAGGCACGAAGGCCAGGGGAGCAAACGGG
rnacentral:rRNA from 1 species